rnacentral:lncRNA from 1 species
CUCAACCUUAUACGAAGGAAGCAUGUCAUUCCACUUCGUAUAGUUGAGCGGACACAGCUGACCCUUGCGUGCAACCGAUCCUAAAAAGCUUGAUAGAAGACUUCCAGCUCUAUUGAUGGGCUGCCCCAAUUCGUUGCAUCGGAUGAUGAUCUUCUCACCCGGAGGAAGCUUCCACACAUCCUUUGCUUGAGUGGGUCCCCGUCU